UACGUAGGAUGCGAGCGUUGUCCGGAAUUAUUGGGCGUAAAGCGAACGUAGGUGGUUACUUAAGUCUGGACUUAAAGACCGAGGCUCAACCUCGGGAAUGGUCUGGAUACUGGGUGACUAGAGGAUGUUAGAGGAAAGUGGAAUUCCAAGUGUAGCGGUGAAAUGCGUAGAUAUUUGGAGGAACACCAGUGGCGAAAGCGGCUUUCUGGGACAUUCCUGACACUGAGGUUCGAAAGCUCGGGGAGCAAACAGG
rnacentral:misc_RNA from 1 species